CCGUGCCUGACAGGUGGACUGUGCCCCAUAUAGGAUGGAUACGAUUCUACUGUGAUGAUGGCACACUCCGUCUCACUCACAACUUCGGGGAACAUGGCCUGCUCAGGUUCUGGCAUGUCAUUUCUGGUCAGCAGCCCCGCCCCUCCUUGCCCUGUCCUGUUCUGCCCAAUUCUGCCCCACUCUAUCUUGCUCCCUUCGAAAUCUAUGGUGCUGAUGACCGCCUGUGAGAGGCUGGGAAGGGGAGUGUCCGUUUGAGCUGGAAGGCUGCCUGGAGGAGGUGUGGCUUGAACUGGGGUUGAGCAGUGGGGAGGAUUUGGAGAGCGGAGGAAUGAAGGAGAGCGGAGAGCAGAGGCUUGGAGGGUCAUGAUACAGUGAUCAAUAAUGAAAUGGUCAUAAAAGGACGUGAUGAGUCAGCCUGGAGGAUUCAAAGAAGGCUUCCCAGAGAGACUCAUGUUCAAGCUGGGCACUGAGGGUAGAUCAGGAGUUCUCCAGGUGGAAAAAUGGGUAGGGGAUUCUGGAAAGAGGCAUGAGGUGCCAUUUGAACUGAGUCCUGCUUGGUGCACCUAAGCCAGAUGGGGAAGAUUUGGAGAAAGAGCAUUUCCAGUGGAGCAAACCGCAUGUGCAAAGGCCCUGAGAAUCUGCAGGCCUGGUUGGUCCCAAGACUGUCCUAAGAAAAGGAGGGCCAUGCUGGGAGCUGGAAGAAACCUGCAGCAGGUUGGAGGUUGAAUGGAGUCCCUUCACAAGUUCUGUCUAUUGGAACCUCAGAAUGUGACCUUAUUUGGAAUAAAGGUUCUUGCAGAUGCAACUAAGCAAAACCACAACGAUUGUGAUAUGCACAGUAAAAUGAAAGCCCAGCUAUCUGAAACCAGGCUAGAAGAAACCGAAAAUACCCACCCCACAAGGAGCCAUGUCCCUUUCGGGGAGAAAUUGUUGCACUCAGAUCUUGGAGAAGACAGAGCCAUGCAAAGUUAAGUUGCUAAAGUGGCUAAAAACAAACAUGGUCUCCACGUGCUAAUUUUUCUCCCUGGCCCCUCCUCCCCACUCCUUACAGUAAACAGCAGUUAUGGGGACUGCAGUCAAAUUCCCUAUUUACUGCCUUUCCUGAGUCAGUUUGUUUUGGGUGAAAACAGUCUCUGAUGCAGCUCUAUUGCACCAUUUCAGCGGCUGUUUAUCAUUUAAAAGGAACAAUUUUAAUACCUACAUUUGCCUUACAGUAUGAGCCAUAAAUGUGAUUUAGGUUUCCCUUUAUAAUAGACUCUACAAACAAUUGCCUAGGCUCCAGAAGAACUGUUUCUCCAAGUGCUGGCCAUGAAAAUGGACAGGCUUUUCCUUUCUUUACAAAAGUUUUCCUUUUUAAUACCUCUUGAAAUUAAUUGAACAAAAACUGGGUAAAUGGGCUGAUUCACACAUCUUCCUUGCUGGGAGUCUGGAGCCUCGCAGCAAUGUCUUGGGAAAGGAUGGGUCUCCCAGAGUGGGCAUGGGAGGAAGGCCCAGGAGGUUGUGCUGCUGAUGCUGUUUGUCCUACUUCCUGCCCCCCUGGGCCCCAGCUUCCUCCUCUGUAAUGGUGGGGUGGCAAUGGUGGUAAUAACAUAGAUCUCUGACAUCAGUGCUACUCAAAGCCAGGUUUGUGGGCUGGCAGCAUCAGCAUCACCUAAGAGCUUGCUAGAAAUGCCAAUUCCCUGGCUCUGCCCAGACUUGCUAAAUCAGGAUCUCUGGAGGUAGGGCCCAGCAAUCUGUACGAGAAGGUUGUCCGGGUAAUUCUAAUACAUGCUAAUGUUUGGGAAGCUCUGACUAUUUGGAAGCAGAGCUAGAAGCCUGUCAGGGGUCAGAGUGAACUGCUGAAAGUGUUUAUGAGCUCCCAUAAUCCAGUGGCAUCCUGGUCCUGGGAACGGUGAGCCCACUGGGUGCUUAGGAUCCAAGUCGGUGAGUGACAAAAGUAAUGGAUCCAGUCUUGGACACCAUAGACUAGACUUGAAAGUUGACAGACUCAGGUGUGUGUCCUGAGAUGGGAAAGAGGACGGUGACAAGUCUGAAAGAUAGAAUCUCUCCUGUUUAUUCAGAGUUGAUGUCUACAUGGUUUCAGAGUGCAGAGCUGGGUAGAACCCCAGGGGAGAGGAGGCAUCCUGGCCAAUGGAAGUGUGCAGGCAGGAGCUUCAGAUUGUGAUCCCCUUUGCCAUUGAAGGGUUUCCUACAUUAGGGAGGGUCCCCAUUGGCCUCAACAUUCCAGGACCUGUUUCCUUUUAGCCUAUACCUCACCUUCUUGUGGCCUCCCUUCCCCAGAGUGGAAGGGUUGUAACCCUGCAAAUGAGGAAAGUCCUUCUGCAUGGACAUGCUGCUUCCUGCUGAGAAAUACCUCCAUUCAGGGGAAAAAUGGGAUUAAUUUUUAGCGGAAGCAGCAGUGGCUGAACAUGCAGUUUUCAAAUUGUUGGCUAUGAUAUUAAGUAACAAGCAGACUCCUGUCCAAAGGAUGUUAUUAAAAUUAACUGUUUUAGCACUACAGUUAGAGUCAAAAACCAAUCUGUCACUCCUAAAUUGGUUUCUUUCAACUGCUAUUUGCGGGUAAAAUGAACAGUUUUAACAAUUACAUCUCCAGUGCAAAUCAUAAACUUGAUUUACAGGAAAACACUUAAUUUACUGCAUUUGACUGUGCACCAGAGCUGCCAAUUAUCUGACUGUAAAUUUCCCCACUUGGUUAUUUGUUUCCUAAACAGCAGCCUUGGCCCCAUUGCCUCCCUCACCUCUGGGCCCAAGGCCCCACCUGGGGUUGCAGACCCUGAUUGGGGUUUUGUCUGUGAAGUGCUGGUGCUCAAAAGCAGACGGGGUCCACAUGGACCCUCUGUCUGUGUUAUUUCAAGUAGUAAAAUAUUGAGUAGAAUAUCACUGCUCUUUAACCUAGUCUGAGCUAGCCAUGAAGGAGGAAGAAUCACAGAAUCUGUGAGCAUAAAGACCGUGGAGAGAAUCAUUCAUUCAUCCAUUCAUCAAACAAUGAUUACGCAGUCAUUUUCCCAGAGCUGGGAGCUAUAGGCUAUGCCGUGAUGGCUGCGUCUCCCAUGGUUCCUGCCCUCAACAAAUUCACAGUCUAAUAGGAAAGACAUGUGCAGUAUUAUUCAAUAUCAUUUUGUGGUAUAAUAAAUUUUCCCUUUAGUUGUUGGCUGUUAAUGAGCCAAAGUGCUGGGGCCCACUGAGAAGUGAUUGUUCUGCUUGGAGGUGCUGGAGAAAAUAGAGAAACUCACAUGCCGUAGUUUUGCAGAAGUUCCAUUUGAACUGAGUCUUGAUGUCUGAAUACGAGCUUUUCAGGUAGAGAAGGAGAGGAAAGGGUCUUUCAGGCAGGGGGAACAGCAUCAGCCAAUUCUUUUUGGCACAGAAGAACAGGGUAUGUUUAGCGAGGGGGUGAAUGGUCUGGCCUGGCAGGAGGGAAGGGGGCAGGUUGGCACCAGGAUGCCGCUUUUAAGGAGUUUAGAGUCUGUUGGAUUUAUAAUCCAAGUCCUUCUCUAGCUAAGCAAAUGGAAGUCCACAGCAUUGAGAUACCCCGUGUAACUCAGGAGAGACUGUAAAUGCCAAGAAGCUAUAGGAUGGAGAAUGGAGGAUAGUUUCCUGGUAUUUUGAGAAGUAAGAAAGCAUAUGCAAACAUAUGUAAAUGAGAUGCAAGCCGGCACCUGCUCUGCAUUGUGUAGUCAGCCAGCUUUCUGCAGCCCUGUGUGUUUCUACAAAGGUGAGAGAGGUGCCUCCUUGUGACUCCAGCUGAGCUAUGGGACAUAUCAGGGGGUUUCAUAAAAAAGAAAAAUUACCCCAAGACUUUCCCUGCCAGGGGCCCUUCUGUUGGAGGAAGUGUCCCCUUGGGAGAGAGAAGAGGACCAGAAUUUAGGCCUCAGAAGGGAAGGAUGAAGCCCCCAAAGUUGCCACCUUCUAGGAAGCCCAGACCUCAGGAUUUUGAGGAGUUGGCUCCAUCAGUGUCAAGAGAAAGAAGAGGUUUGUCAUCUCAGUUGACACAGGGGUGGAGGCCCGUGCGUGAGCCCCUGAAGUUUCUAGGGCUGACUCUUCCUAAUUUUCUGUGUGGCCUUGAACAAAUCCUCUCUCUGGAUGUCACUCUGCACCUAAGAAGCCAGAUACUUCAGAUCAUUCUCCUCUGGGCCUCUGCUCACAGACCUUCCAUCAAGAAAUUCACUACAGUGUGUUGGAACAGUCUAUGUACCUGACUACCCCACAAGGGCUGUUGUAAGGAUCAAAUGGCAUCAUGAAUGGAGGGUACCAAGUCCUGCACCCAGCCUGCAGUGACUAGCACCUGCUCCCUGCUGAACAUGGUGGCUGGGGCUGGACAUGGUCCUUGGGGGUGUGAUCUGAGCAGCCUGCAGCAUUCUGGGCCUUUCAACUGCUGCAUCCUGGUACCAGUCUCAUGCUUCCUGGUACCCUACAGAUGGCUGUCUCCUGGUGGAGUCACCAGGUUGGAGGGGUCCUCAGAAUGCCAACAGAACAGAGCAGCCCUGAGCUCCGGCACCUGUCACUGUGGCUUGACUGAAUACAUAUCUCCAGACCAAGGCAAGCAUCUCUGGCGGAACCCACUGUGGAGAUCCUAAAUUGGCACCCCAUAGAGUGAGCUGUCUGAUUCUACAAAGGCAGUAUUUCUAGGUUUCAAAGGAACUGAAUAAUUUAAAAUGCACAAGACAAAAAGUGGGAUUAAGGUGAUCUGAUAGGCUCUCCAGGCUGGGGUAUCAAUUAUACUCUCAACUCGUAAAGCCUUAUUUGUGAGAUUCGGAAUUUAUUAUCUGUCUGAAGCACUAAUUACCAGGUUUCUCUCUUUUAAUUUUACAGGUCUCUUCUCAGAUUUAUUUUUCUCUUUUUUUCCUCCCACUGGGGACAAAUAGCUUCCAUUCCUGAAGGGAAGUUGCCUGCUUGGAGACGGACAGAGGAAGAUAUUUGGGUUCAGCUUAUCCCCUCUGGGCACUUUGGGGGAAGCAGCAUGGGUUGGGGCAGGAGAACUCUAAUGUGUAUGUGUUAAUAAACUUACUGUUUUCUAAAA